CAGAUCGUACAGCGGAAGAAGAAACGCCUCACUGUCAUCAUCAUCAUCAUCACCAUCAGCAUCCUCCACCGCUAUGAUGCUGCAUCUCAUCCCACAAGCUCUAAUCAUGUGUUUCAGUGUGUUAGUUAACGGACAACCCGAGGACUUCAAACUGACCGAGAGAGCUUAUGUUGUUUUACAGAAGCAGAAUUUAGUCACAAUGGGGACUGUCCUCGCAGUCCUGCUGGUGCUAAUGAUCAUCAUGGCUGUCUGUGUCUACAAACCGCUGUCUCGUCGCUGAAACUGGCCCGAAACCUGGAGGAGAUAAAAGACCGAGAGACAGAGCUGCUGACCGCCGGGUGUACCGAGGAGCUGCGGCUCCGGACCGACGGGACCAGACUCGGGGGGGAAACCGAGCUCUGCCACCACAGUUACCAUUCACUGACCGUUAACACCCAGACUGCACUAUUAACUGGGCUUUUAUACGCGAUGAAAUCCGAUCAUAUAAAAUGUACUGUACACACAUAUGUUGAUAUUCUGUAAUUCCUUUCUUAAAUUUAUUUAUUUUAUUAAUUACGUCUGUAAACAGAGGGGACAUGGGAUCGAUAUAAAUGAUUUGCCUAAUUUAACUCCCAAUAAUCUGGGCUAUUACAUCUAUUAUAAAUGUGUCAAACAUUUUAUUUGUAUUUAUUUAUUUUGAUUUUACACCUUAAGGAAAUGCUGUAUUUAGGUGUCUGCUUUUAAGGCCAAAUGUCUUAUUAUUGAAACAAAAUGUGGUCUAUAAACCUGUAGUUCUGCAACCAUUAAAUACAUUUAAGUGGGAUUAUAAAGUGAAAGAAUUGUCACUGCUUAGAUGUAAAUUAAACAGUCUCAGUUUCUUUUCUCUAAAUGUGGAAAUCUACUCAUCAGUUUUCUAAAAUUAACUGUAAGCCUAUUUGUUUUAUUUAUUUAGUUGAUUGCUUGAAACAUACAGACUUUAAAUCAAAAAGUUGUAGAUAGUUUUAUUAUGUUGACCUUUAGGGCCAAGUUGUUGUUUUACAACAUGAGAAGGCUUCUGUGCAGAUUAAAUCCAGUGAUACCAAGAAAUAACUCUGAAAUAAAUCUGCUCAAUUUCCUAAAAUAAAA